rnacentral:antisense_RNA from 1 species
GAAGCCCUGACUCCUUGGAGAAAGGCUUGCAGCCCCUCUCCUUCCUGGAUUGCACACCUCCAGCCCUGGCAGCCUGUCCCCUGGUUGGCGCCCAGCAGCAGGCCACAGAUGGCUUCUGGCUGUCCCAUGGCAUCGCAUCAGGGCAUGCAGCGGAUAGUGACUCACACUGGCACCUCUUCUGCUUGGAAAAUGCCCUACACAUCCAUCAUCUUUGGUUUUUCUGCUAGAACGAUGGCACGAGGAGCCAGCUCAGGUGUCUCUCCCUCCAGGAAGUGGGGCUCGCGCCCUUUGAGUACCUGCACUCCCCAUCACCGCACUCCCCAUCACCGCACUCCCCAUCACCACACUCCCCUUGUUGCAGUUUUAUGGAGUGUGCGUCUGGCUCUGCAACUAGACUUGAACCACUUGAGUGCAUAACUCAGGACUUGGCCAUCUGAGUCUGCCUGUGGCCAGCUCAGCCUUGGCCCACAAGGACCUGCAGAGAGUGGAUGUAGCCACUGCCCCAGCGUCCCUGGGCUCUGAAGAGAAGCCAUUGCCCUUCAAGAGCCACCUCAUUUCCUGGGCACUGGUUGG